AUGGUUCGAAAUUGAAAGGCGGCUUCGGCUGUCACUUAUGGAUGGACCCGCGUCGCAUUAGCUAGUUGGUGAGGUAACGGCUCACCAAGGCAACGAUGCGUAGCCGACCUGAGAGGGUGAUCGGCCACACUGGGACUGAGACACGGCCCAGACUCCUACGGGAGGCAGCAGUAGGGAAUCUUCCGCAAUGGACGAAAGUCUGACGGAGCAACGCCGCGUGAGUGAUGAAGGCUUUCGGGUCGUAAAACUCUGUUGUUAGGGAAGAACAAGUGCUAGUUGAAUAAGCUGGCACCUUGACGGUACCUAACCAGAAAGCCACGGCUAACUACGUGCCAGCAGCCGCGGUAAUACGUAGGUGGCAAGCGUUAUCCGGAAUUAUUGGGCGUAAAGCGCGCGCAGGUGGUUUCUUAAGUCUGAUGUGAAAGCCCACGGCUCAACCGUGGAGGGUCAUUGGAAACUGGGAGACUUGAGUGCAGAAGAGGAAAGUGGAAUUCCAUGUGUAGCGGUGAAAUGCGUAGAGAUAUGGAGGAACACCAGUGGCG
rnacentral:rRNA from 1 species